CUGUACAUUGGGAAAGGUGCCGAGACAUGAACUUUGGUCUUCUCUGCAAUCCAUCUGGAGCAUUCACUGACAACAUCGACUUUGAAGUUGCACUGACCUGGCCAGCCCUGCCACUUACCAGGUUGGGCUGUGGCUUGCCUUUUCACUUCUUGUGUCCUGUUUAAGAAAUAUCUGCUAUCCCAAGAUAACACUAACAAAGUUGACCUUAGAAUUGGAGUGCCUGGGUUAGAACCCUGCUGGUACCACCUGCUUACUGCAUGCUUCUGAUGUGAGUUCAGGAGAAGACACUGGCAAGGACAGCAAAGAACAGGAGAACACUCUAGCUUCCCUGAUAGCAUUCAAGGUGCUGUCCAAAGCUCUUGAGUUUCUGCUUUCAAGUGACCCUCAGAAAUUCCUCCAUUCACUGCAGAGGUUCUGUUUCUCCUUGCUUUGUUCUGACUUUACGGCAGAACUAAGCUAAUGAGUUAGUUACUAUGGGUUAUCACUUGGAUUUGAAGAACCAUCAUUUCUAGGCAUUGCUGCUCAGAGUGGGUCUGCCCUCAGGGGAAGCUGUCUAACCAGAGCCUAACCCACUAGGGUUUUAUCAGAACCUAACUGACCUGAGGAAAAGAAAUACUCAACUCCAGCAAGCUCCAGCCUUCCAAAUGGAGGAGGAGAAAACCCAACUCCAGCCCACUUCAGCUAUCUUGUCCCACAUAAAGGGGAAGUGGAAGAAACCUGAGAAGCAGGCAUGAAGUUCACAGUCCAGAGGUACAGACACAUCAGAGUUCAGUAUCUGAUGAAUUAGAUGCAAAAACCUCAACAAAGUAUUAGCAAAUUGAAUUCAACAAUGUAUGAAAAUUAUUACAUGCCAUGACUAAUUGGAAUUUAUCUCAGGUAUACAAGCCACGCUGAACAUCUGAAAAUCAAUUCAUGUGAUCCAUCACAUUAGCAGACUCAAGAAAAAAAACCACAUUAUCAUAUCAGUAGAUGUA
rnacentral:lncRNA from 1 species